GACGAAGGUGGCUAGCGUUGCUCGGAAUUACUGGGCAUAAAGCGCGCGUAGGUGGUUUUGUAAGCGAGGGAUGAAAUCCCAUGGCUCACCCAUGGAACUGUCUCUCGGACUGCAAAGCUUGAGGGCGGGAGGGGAGAGUGGAAUUCCCGGUGUAGCGGUGAAAUGCGUAGAUAUCGGGAGGAACGCCGGUGGCGAAAGCGACUCUCUGGCCCGUUCCUGACACUGAGGCGCGAAAGCUAGGGGAGCAAACAGGAUUAGAUACCCUGGUAGUCCUAGCUGUAAACGAUGGGCACUGGGUAGAGGAGGCAUCGAUACCUUCUUUGCCGAAGCUAAUGUGUUAAGUGCCCCGCCUGGGGAGUACGGUCGCAAGGCUAAA
rnacentral:rRNA from 1 species